CCUACGGGAGGCUGCAGUAGGGAAUAUUGCUCAAUGGGGGAAACCCUGAAGCAGCAACGCCGCGUGGAGGAUGAAGGUUUUCGGAUUGUAAACUCCUGUUGUUAGAGAAGAUAAUGACUGUAUCUAACGAAUAAGCACCGGCUAACUCCGUGCCAGCAGCCGCGGUAAUACGGAGGGUGCAAGCGUUACGCGGAAUCACUGGGCGGAAAGAGCGCGUAGGCGGGAUAGCAAGUCAGAUGUGAAAUCCUAUGGCUUAACCAUAGAACUGCAUUUGAAACUGUUAUUCUAGAGUAUGGGAGAGGUAGGUGGAAUUCUUGGUGUAGGGGUAAAAUCCGUAGAGAGCAAGAGGAAUACUCAUUGCGAAGGCGACCUGCUAGAACAUAACUGACGCUGAUGCGCGAAAGCGUGGGGAGCAAACAGGAUUAGAUACCCGAGUAGUC
rnacentral:rRNA from 1 species